CCUACGGGAGGCAGCAGUAGGGAAUAUUGCACAAUGGGGGAAACCCUGAAGCAGCAACGCCGCGUGGAGGAUGAAGGCUUUAGGAUUGUAAACUCCUUUUGUGAGAGAAGAUAAUGACGGUAUUUCACGAAUAAGCACUGGCUAAUUCCGUGCCAGCAGCCGCGGUAAUACGGAGGGUGCACGCGUUACUCGGAAGCGCUGGGCGUAAAGAGUGCGCAGGCGGGCUUGUAAGUCAGAUGUGAAAUCCUGUAGCUUAAUUAGAGAACUGCAUUUGAGACUAGGAGUCGAGAGUGUGGGAGAGGUAGGUAGAAUUCUUGGUGUAGGGGUGAAAUCCGUAGAUAUCAAGAGGAAUACUCAUUGCGAAGGCGGCCCACUGGAACAAGACUGACGCUCAGGCGCGAAAGCGUGGGGAGCAAACAGGAUUAGAUACCCGUGUAGUC
rnacentral:rRNA from 1 species